CCAACAUUUGAAAAGAAUACCGUUUGCGUUGCGUUGCAGUUUAUUGAGCUCGAUCGAGAAGUGGGACGAAGAAGGCCGUUAAUAAUUCAACUACUUAAAGAAUGCGGGUUAGAUGUGGACGACUUCGAAGACAUUUGCAGUAGGCUAAACAGAGAAAGAGAGGGAGACCCAAAACUACUUGUCCUGGCAUCACAUUUGAGGAGGAGAUGAAGUCGGUGAAUAUGACCUAGCCCGGGGGAGUUUCCAGAAGACGGCCCAGAACCACUGGCCGCCAGGAGUGGAGGUCCUUUGUUGUUGCUCUACAUGUCAGGAGGCAUCGGGCAGUAGCCCUGGUAGAAGCACCAUCUUGAUACCAUCAUUCAAACUCUCAUCAGCUGUAUCAUUAUAGGUGGACUAAAAGAACAAUAUUCAUGCAGAUAUAAUGAUGCCUUAAGUUGAAAUGGAAGGUGUCCUGAAUCUGCACCCAUUCAUCUGGUUUCGUAACUCCUUUCAUAGUGCUAUUGGAACCUGCUCCCUACCAGUAUAACAUCAAACAGAUUGGAAGAAUAAAGGCCAAUGGGAAGUGCCUUUUAUAUUUCUACUUGCCACAAAGCAGUCCAUGGUUUAGCGCUAUCUAAACUGGACUAUUGUAAUGCUCUUCGUGCUUGAAUUAGGGCGAUCUGGACUGACUGCAUAUAGUACAGAAUGCUGCAUCUAUUGUGCCAUUUGCCAUACGCCAACUUCGCUGGCUGCAAGUCAAGGAAAGGAUAUACAUGAACAUCAGUGUCCGUCUCCUGAUUUUCAAAGUCAUUGACAGAGAUCCAGAUUACAUGUUUUAUAAGGAAUCCCUUGUGCGUCAUUUUCAUUCUAGGCGCACUUGCCUUUUUAUUUUUGUGAUCAUUACGCACCUACGAAUUAGCUACUGGUGAUGCAACUUUCUCCACUACUGCUCCAAGGCCGUGGAAUUAGCUCCUUCCUCUCCUCCAGUUGUCAACAACCUUGGAUCAAUCCAAAUACAAUUUGAGAAGACCUACCAUCCUGAUCUUUGCUCUGUACUUACAACAAUACUGUCACUGUCUGGUAAUUUGAAUUUUUUUAAAUCUCAUGCGCUUUGUAUCUCGCAAAAUAACGUGUUGUGUAAAAGCGAACAUGCAUUGAGGUCAAGUUUAAGGGUAACCAUGGAUAUUGCCUUUUAUUACUUUUUAACAAAACUGAAAAAUUCAUCCAAAUUAGACAAGGGAUAAUAAAGUAAUGUAUGACAUUCUAACCUCUGCAUUAUUUUGGUGAAAGAGCUCUAAGCAUAUAUGCAAGUAGCAAGCUGAUGAUGUCAUACUGACGUACAUUGUACAUGUACACGUAUCCCCAACUUAUUAUUUUGUAUAUAAAAUUGUGCAUUUAAUUUUGUUUACCAAGAAUGAAACAAAUCAGAUUGUAAACUGUAUUGAUGUGACUUACCUGUAUUGAUUAUUGCUGGAAGUUCUUUUGCUACAUGGGAUUGGAAGACAUACUUAUUACACACAUGAAGUAAAUUAUUAUUUUAUCUGGUAACAUGAGAACAAUAAAAAUGUGGGCAUGAUAUCAUAAACUUACAUGUAUCUACUUGCAUGUGUUGAUGACCAAUAUUUUUUUAAUUAUUUUUUUUUAAAUUUUAUCUGAUUUUGAUAAAGUUUUCACUAUUUUGCAUGGUAAAAAUUACUUUAUUUUAGAUUAUGUUGAGCCCGUAUCAUAUACAAGUACAACUUUAAAGAUAAAUUACCAGUUGUAGUAACAAUCUUAAAAUGAGUUCGAACAGAAUCCAAUAGAAUUACCAGCAAAAUAUAAAAGACAUGUGCCAUAAUUAAUUAUAGCUCGGGAAGAAAAUGUGUAAUUGCUGAGAAAUGACCAAAAUAAGCAUGUAAUUCUAUCCAAUGUCAGGUAUUUUUCAAAUCAAUCAUAAUACACUGUCCUGUCCCACAUGUUCUUUUCUGUGUUAGUGAUCAUCAAAAUAAUUAAUUUUAAGUUCAAAAUGAGUGAUUUUACAAAAAUACAAGCUUACAUUAAUGUACCAGAUCUAGAGAUUAUGUACAAUAUUUUGACAAUUUCUCAUGAAAUAAUUGUUUGCUGCAACUGCUGUCUUUUUAAUACGUUUAAGUGAUAGUGUAAUACAACCACAAACUUUUCUUAAGAAUUAAUGUACAUGUAUGAUUCUUUCACCCAAAUUUACAUGCAUUGAUACUGUUGACUACUUGCCAAAAGUUCCUGCCAAAAGCCUUUUUUAACGAUGUACAUGCUUUUAUAGACGACCUGCCAAAACAUUGUAUUGUAUUAUAUUCAAGGUCCAACCAAAAAGAGAUGAAUAAAAUGUUUGAAGGAAAUUGAAAUUAACUUUAAAAAUGAUAGAGCUCUGUCAAUGCAGUAUUAUUACAGGGUUCCCACAGUCAUGGAAAAUCCUGGAAAAAAAUUGGUCAUGGAAAGUCAGGGAUAUGUGAAAAGUCAUGGAAUUGCAUUUACCUCUUGGCUAUGACAGCUUUCUAGUUUUUUAUGUCUCACAACUCUCAUACUCUGUGAUUGUACUCUACUAUUAUAAUUGGUGUUCAUGAUCAUAACAUGUCUGAUUUUGAAAACUGUGCCAGAAAGGAAUUAAGUCAUGGAAAGCAGCAAUUUAGUCAUGGAGAGGUCAUGGAAUUCUGUUUUCAAAUUUCUGUGGGAACCAUGAAUAGGUUUGUGCACUUGACACAGUGUGCACUACAGAUGAACUUUGUAAUGCCAUGAUAUAAACCAGUACAAUAUCUUAAAGGAAAAUAAAACCCAAAAUAUAAUACCACAUGAUACCAUUGAUAAAUACAGGACAAUGAAAAUGAAUCCACUCAUAUACCCCCAAUCCGAUGUCCCAGUAUGGAGUACCACCUUUUCAAAGUUGGCAUCUUCUGGUACAAAGUCUAUGGAUGGGGAUUAUUCCGUCAGCGACGAACUACAUCUCUAAACGUUUGGGCAUUAUAUAUUCUAUUUCAUCGAUAAUAAAUCAAAUGUACAGAUAAAACUCAUAAAAUAUUAAUUAAAAUUUGUUUAAUAUUAUAUGAUAGGUUCAAAUUACGACUUGAUGAGUUUUAAUGAUAAAAAUUACACCCUAAUCUACGAUUUACAAAUUGGCAGCGGAAAUUGGGGUGUAAAUCUUAUCAUUAAAACUCAUCAAAUUGUAUUUUGAACCUACCAUAUAUUAAACAAAUUUUAACUAAUAUUUUUAUGAGUUUUAUCUGUACAUUUGAUUUGUUAUUGAUAAAAUAGAAUAUAUAAUGCCUAAACGUUUAGAGAUGUAGUUCGUCGCUGAUGUAAUAAUUUCCUAACUAACCCCGCGAAAAUGGCGACCUCCAUCCAGAAACUUCGAACCAUACUGUAAGAGGCCAACUUUGAAAAGGUGGUACUCCGUAAUUGGAUUAGGGUAUGAGUGGAUUCAUGUUGAUUGUCCUGUAUUUAUCAAUAAUAUCAUGUGGUAUUAUGUUUUGGGUGUUAUUUUCCUUUAAUUCAGAUAUUACAUGCCAGGGUAUUGUCCUAGUUUUCAUUUUCUCCAAAUACAUAUUAUCAUCUCUCGUCUAUUUCUACUUGCCCUCCAGCCUUGAAGUAAACUUGGGAUAAUUAUGCAUUUUGUUAUACGCAAUUUUGAGUACAGUGCACUUUGCCGCAGCUACUUAUAUGAUAUUACCUAUUGUAGACACAUCCUUAUGUUUUGUUCAUUUUCUUAAAAACGAUUAAGAGUUUAAUCAUUUUUGUCUUUAAGCAUAAAACAAAGAGUAAAUCAGUCCAUUCUGUAUGUGUGACCUGCAAAAAAACUACAAUGGUCGUUAAUUUGGUUUGCUGAAAAGCCAGAUAACCUUUGAGGUAACUUUUUAAAGUAUUUAGAAGAAAUGUAUCUUUUUUAAAAGUAUUUAUAUGCACUGUAACUAAUUUCUUUGAUAGUUACUAUUAUGUUACACUGUUUGUACAGUAAAGCAGCUGUUACACAAUUUUUGUCAAUAGCAAAUCUAAACCAGUAUUGUAAAUUGAUGACUCUAUGAGCUAAAUACCAGUACUUUCUAUAUCA